CCAUGCUGAACUUAUCGGUGCGUAUUGCCUGGCGGACGCGCACCUAAACUGUGUGACAGCGUACGCGGUGGCAGGCGGGUGGCGGUGCUGGAUCCCCCGCAGUGGCUAUAGGCCGGAGCGGCGCUUGGCUGCGAGGGCCGCUUGAGGCUCCGCGGAGCUUUAAUUUUUGAUUCUUUUUGGAAGAAAUGAGAGGAUCUGUUUUCUGGUAUUUGGAACUGUUAAAAAAUGACAUCCACCUUGACAAGACCACAACUCCAUCUGAACAAAGUGACUCCAAAGCAUGAUGGCCCCUCCACCAUGUUUGUGGGCCUGGUGUUCUUUUGGUGAGGCAAAACUUUUUGAGUUUAGUUUCGUCAGACCAUAGCACAGUCUCUUACAAGGCUAUGGGAGGUUUUAGCUCUGUUUCUGAUAUGAAGGACACAAAAGAUUCUUGUUUCAUACAAAACACAACCAAUCCUUGUUAGAAAUCCCUUCAGCUCCUUUUGUGUUACCGUCAGCCUCUUUGCAUCCCCACUGACCACCAAAUCUUUUGGAAACCCAUUUGCUAUAUACUAUGUCUUCACUGUGACAUAGUGUACAUGUGGCAUUGCAGAACUUUGUAACUGUUCUCUGAACUGGUACCUUUAUACAAUGAGAUUCUUUUCAAUUUCUCUUCAGAGACAGAGUGUAGAUCUCUGAGGAGCCAACCUGCUCAACAAACACCAAUGAGAUUAGAAGCAGAUAUCGAACUCUUUCAAGAAACAGAAAUGAACACCAUAUCCAAAAUUCCCACAGUAAUGUAGUUGGGUACGCCGACUUCGUCCCACAGUGCAAAAACAUGUCUGUAAGGUUAUCCGUCUUUCUAAAUGUCUUUAGGUCUGAGUGUGUUCAUGGUUGCUUGUCCUCUGUGUCUCUGUGUUGCCAUGGGAUGAACUGGCAACCUGUCUAGGUUGUACACCCUCCACUGGUGGGAAUAAGCACCAGUGGAGGGUCCCCACUGGGCUAGUAGGUAGACAAUGAAUUCAUGGAUAUUUGAAUCAUUCUAGCAAAUGGUGUUUGGUUAAAACCAUUAAACUUCAAAUCUGAGUCUUAUAUUAUAGAAAUAAUGUAGAAGUUUCUUUCCGUGGAGAGAAACUGGUCAAUUUUAAUACAUUGUUUUGAUUAUCCUUUCAACCAUUUUGAUAUCAAUUGAAUUUGAUGUAAUGCAUGAACAUGUAAUUCCUAAUCUUAAAGGUUUUUUAAUAUUAAUGUAUUUAGGAUAUGUUGUGUGUAGAAUUGCAAAAUAGACUUUAUAUUUUAGUGCUUCCAGACAAAAUGGAGCACUGGACACUUCAAAAACUUUAGCUAGACCCCAGCCUCUGCCUCCUAGCCACCUUCUCAAGAAGAGUUCAUUUAUUUACGUUCUGAGAAAUUUAGAAAAGUUUCCACUUAAAUUAAAAUGAAUACGAUUCUGUUCCUCCAAUUCAAAAAUGGACACCGUGCAAAUUUAUCAUUUUGCCAGUGAGAUAGCUCCGUAGCGUCCUAUAAAAAAAUGCUUCCCGUUUUUUUCUCCUUCUUUUGCCUUCUCUCUUUUUGUGGUUUCUAUUUAGAAAUUCUGCAAGCUCAAAACCUCUCACAUAGGAAUGCUCAUGCAAUCCUGACCUGUUUAAGCUGUAUAACGUUGAUAGGUUGUCAGGCCCCCAGCGAAAAGGCCCAGAAUAAAGCGAGCUAUCUUUUAAAUUGCCAGGGUGAUAUUUGCAGAUAAUAAAAGAGAUAAAUCAGACAAUGUGGCUGAAUAUUUCAUUUGUUAUCCAUAUUCCUUAUGGGCAAAAAAUGCUACAGAAAUGUAAAAACAGCAAUUCCACUUUACCCCCUCUGGAAUUGUAACACUUGAGAUGCUGUUUUCAUGUCUGAAGACAAAGUGCGUGCUCUCCUUCAGCCUGCAACAGAUAAAUCUAAUAGGCAGCCAGAAUUACUGGUUGUAAUGUUGUGUAGUCUUAACCCAGUCUGCUCUCUCACUGGUUUUAUUUCUGUCAAUCUCUCAAACUAAUGGAUACUCGGCAGAAAUAGCUGGAGAAUGCUUUCUAUUUAUAGAUUUAUAGAAUGCAGCGCAAGGGCAAAAAGAAGGUAUAGUAAUAGUACUGUUUUCUAAAGUGCACAUGAUGACGAUAUGUGUACAUUUUCAUUAUUAGUAUGUAUUUUUUUUCUCUUUAAAUUGUAAGCAGCAAUAACACUCCAGCAAACUGUAUUCAGCUCCCCUUUACAUUCACAUUCCAGAAUAAAACCUAGUGGAAGCAGUUGCAUUCAUAAAUCACUUUGUUAGCAAUUAGUCAGCCUGUAUGUGAUUUGGUUAACGAAGACCAAGGAAAACAUCAGAUGGGGACAAAGAAAUGGAGAGGCUUAAAGCAGGGCUAGGUUUUGAACAAUAUUCUAAGUUUUGAUCAUUUUAUGAGCGCUGUCCAAUUCAUCGUCUGGGAAUGGACAGAGUAUAACCUUGGUUGUGUCCAAAUUCAGGGGCUGCAUCCUUUGAAGGACCUGGUCUACCCUGUUGAUGUGGCCUGGGACAUUUGUUGACUGCAAAGACCAGAAAAUCAAGACAGACAACAGAAAGCCUGCCAAAACCUGACCAUGCACCUAAAAGGGCAAGGAAACAGAGCAGCAGCCAGAAAGGCCGUGGUAACUCUGGGGGACCAGCAGAGAUCUCCAGCUCAGUGAGGGAAAGAGGGGAUCCAUUUCUCCCAAGGUGAGCAACUCUCUCCAAUACCCUGAUGUUAAAUAAACACACCAAGACCUCUGGCCACCUCACUUCAGCUACUGGAACACCACUGGUGUGUCUGGAUGAUGGAGGGCUUUUGUUAUCUAUCGCCCCUGCAUUCUGCUGAGAGGCCAAGGAGACGGCCGGUCACACCAGUCUGAAUAACAUCUGAUUGAAGAGGGAGAGAGAGCGGCUCAGUGUGUGUUUCAUCACCUGUGAAGCCAAUGAGGGAGAGCGUCUCCGCGUCAACAACUGUAAAGCGUAUCCCAGCUUCUGCCGUCUCCGCUGCCACGCUACACUAACCAAGAAUGUGUAUUUCUGCAGAUGAUU